rnacentral:rRNA from 1 species
GACGAACGCUGGCGGCGUGCUUAACACAUGCAAGUCGAACGGAAAGGCCCUGCUUGCAGGGUACUCGAGUGGCGAACGGGUGAGUAACACGUGGGUGAUCUGCCCUGCACUUCGGGAUAAGCGUGGGCAACUGGGUCUAAUACCGGAUAGGACCGCACUUUAGUGUGUGUGGUGGAAAGUUUUUUCGGUGUAGGAUGAGCUCGCGGCCUAUCAGCUUGUUGGUGGGGUAAUGGCCUACCAAGGCGGCGACGGGUAGCCGGCCUGAGAGGGUGUACGGCCACAUUGGGACUGAGAUACGGCCCAGACUCCUACGGGAGGCAGCAGUGGGGAAUAUUGCACAAUGGGCGCAAGCCUGAUGCAGCGACGCCGCGUGGGGGAUGAAGGCCUUCGGGUUGUAAACUCCUUUCGCUAGGGACGAAGCUUUUUGUGACGGUACCUAGAUAAGAAGCACCGGCUAACUACGU